UACGUAGGUGGCGAGCGUUGUCCGGAUUUAUUGGGCGUAAAGCGCCCGCAGGCGGCCCGGCAAGUUUCAGGUGAAAUCUCCCGGCUUAACUGGGAGGGGUCCUGGAAAACUGCCAGGCUUGAGGCAGGGAGAGGGAUGUGGAAUUCCCGGUGUAGUGGUGAAAUGCGUAGAUAUCGGGAGGAACACCAGUGGCGAAGGCGGCAUCCUGGCCCUGUCCUGACGCUCAGGGGGCGAAAGCGUGGGGAGCAAACCGG
rnacentral:rRNA from 1 species